rnacentral:rRNA from 1 species
AGGAAGGCUCUUGGGUCGUAAACCUCUUUUCUCAGGGAAGAACACAAUGACGGUACCUGAGGAAUAAGCAUCGGCUAACUCCGUGCCAGCAGCCGCGGUAAUACGGAGGAUGCAAGCGUUAUCCGGAAUGAUUGGGCGUAAAGCGUCCGCAGGUGGCGAUGUAAGUCUGCUGUUAAAGMGUCUAGCUCAACUAGAUAAGAGCAGUGGAAACUACAUAGCUAGAGUACGUUCGGGGCAGAGGGAAUUCCUGGUGUAGCGGUGAAAUGCGUAGAGAUCAGGAAGAACACCGGUGGCGAAGGCGCUCUGCUAGGCCGUAACUGACACUGAGGGACGAAAGCUAGGGGAGCGAAUGGGAUUAGAUA